CUCAGCAUAGUCAGUGAGCACCAGUACACCAUGAAUUAUGUCAGCAUGCUGGGAUUUCUUCUGCUGGGACUUUCAGCUGUUACAGCCCAGUCCAGCAUUACACUGACCCAGCCUGCCUCUGCAGAUUUGAAGAAGCCAGGAGAGUCUCUGAAACUGUCCUGCCAGGUGUCUGGAUUCCAGAUAGACAGCUAUUGGAAAGGCUGGAUCCGACAGGCUCCUGGGAAGGGGCUGGAGUGGUUGGCCAGGUAUGUUAAUGAAGGCAACAGCAAGUAUUAUGCCUCUUCAGUCCAAGGACAUUUCACCGCCUCCAUGGACACCUCCUCCAGCACCUUCUUCUUACAAAUGAACGACCUGAGAGCUGAAGACACAGCUGUGUAUUACUGUGCGAGAGACACAGUGACACGACUGAACCAAGAGGCCCCAGGCGAGGCACUCCAGUGA